GACUAUCAUGAAUAAAUAAAAAUUAAAAAAAAAUGGAUCAGAGAUCUAAACAUAAGAUCUAAAACUAUAAACCUCUUGGAAGAAAAAUAGGAAAUAAAGCUUCACUACACUGGGUUUUGCAACAAUUUUUGGAUAUGAAGUUAAAAGCACAAGUAUUAGAAGAAAAAUAGAAAAAAUGGGCUUCACUAAAAUGGAUAACUUUGGUGCAUCAAAGUUGCACUAUCAAUAGAGUAAAAAGGCAACCCACAGAAUGGGAGAAGAGAUUUGUUAAUUGUACAUCUGAUAAGGGAUUAAUAUCCAGGAUAUAUACAGAACUCCUAAGACUCAAGAACAAAAAAGCAAACUACCCAACUCAGAAACAGGUAAAGGACUUGAACAGGCAUUUCUGCCAAGAAGAUAUACCAGCCGCCAGGAAGCGCAUUUGGGGGUGGGGCCUUUGGGAGGUGAUUCUGUUUAGAUGAGGUCAUGAGGGUGGGGCCCAUGAGGGUGGGGCCCUGAGUUGGGAUCAGUGCCCUGUAAGAGGAGACUCCAGACCACUUGCUCUCCCUCUCUCUGUCCCCAUCACUGAGGGCACAAGCGGAAGAUGGCCCCUACCAGCCAGAAAAGCAUUCUCACUAGAAAUCGACCAUGCGGACAUCUUGAUUGUUGGACUUUUAACUUCCAGAACUGAGGGCAAAUGCAUUCCUGUUGUUUAUCACCCAGUCUCUGGUACCUUGUUAAGGUAGCCUGAGCUAAGACGAUGGAAUAUUAUUCUGUCUUACAAUGGAAAGAAAUUCUGACACGCACAACAAAGAUGAACCUUGAGGGCAUUCUCCUCAGUGAAACGAGCCAGUCACAGAAGGACAUAUACUGACUGGAUGAUUCUGCCUACAUGAGAUACCUUGAGGAGUCAAACUCCUGGAGACAGAAGGGACAGGAACAACAACCUCAGAAUCCACAGGUGUCCCUUCAACAGUGGGUCUUCUUGAGUGGUGUGUGGACCACAUGGGCACCAGCCAAGGACACUCUUCAGGCCUCUGGUAAAGAACUGAUCACCGCCCUAAGGAUGCAUGAGACAUUCCCAGAACAUAAAAUACAUCCUUGAUCUACUCCGAGGGUCCUAACGGGGCUUUCCUAAGUGGGACCAUGCAGAUGACCGAAGGGAACAAACAGACUGCCGGCUUGAGGCUGGCGCUGAAGUCACCUUAAAGUCCUACUCACCUGGAAUGCUGAAGAGUGAACAUACAAAUAUUCCUUUUAGUGUCUUCAGUCUAGACUCUGAAUGUCUGAAAAUCUGCACAUAAUCAUUAACUUUUAUUAGGGACGUAUCGGGCUUUACUGCAGAAAUAAUGUAAUUAUUUGCUAAGCUCCCCAUCAGCUCUCACUCGUACAGGCAGGAGGACCCAUGUGGAGUGCUGCUAGAUUUCGGACAGAGAUUUUCCUCGAGCACUUUCCAGUUAUUACACCCUGGGAAAGGCCAUAAAAUUGAUAUCCGGCAUCAAAUCACUUUUACAGCUGGAAACAACUGAAGCUACUGUAUUUUCAUUCUAGGACUAUAGCUUGAUCAUGAAACAUCUCAGCAUCCCACUUGCUACUCAUAUUUUCAUUUGUUUUCUCUCUCUCUCUCUCUCUCUUUUUUUUUUUUUUUUUUUUGGUGGCAGUGACAGCCACCAGAGUCAGGAUUUUAUUUUCUCUACCUUCAGUUGUAGAGGAAUGCUUUCAUGCACUUUGACUAAUAGGACCUUCCCCUUCCCAGCUCCCUUUAUCAGAUUGCCUGCCACACCACGAUCCUUUUCCUGUCCACGACAUCCAAAUCCAUGUGAUGUGUCUCAGGAGAGGCAGAAGUUAGUCACCAACACCCACUUUUACUAAUAGGCUGUCCCCAACUCUCUUAAAGAGCUAACUGAGCCAGGGAAUCUGUAUUAACUAGAACGCCAGGAAGGGGCUCACUGCCACUGCAGAGUGAAUAGUCAUAGGAUGAACACAGGGUCACUGAAAAUUUUUUCUUUUUGGGAAAUGGAAACUUUCAUUUUUUCAGAGUUUUAGUGAGAUACAACUCACAAGCCAUACAGUUUAUGCCCUUGAAGUUCACAACUCUACGGCUUUGAGUGUAUUCACAGACUUGUGCAAUUAUCUUCACAAUCAAUUUUAGAACAUUUUUGUCACCCCAAUGAGAAACCUGCACCAAUUAGCCACCAUCCCCUCCAGGUCUCCCCUUCCUGCCAGCCUCUUGCAACCAAGAAUCUGCCUUUUGUCUGUCUCCAUGGAUUUGCUUAUUCUGCACAUUUUGUAUGAAUGGAAUCCUACCAUAUGUGGCCCUUUGUGUCUAGCUAAUUUCAUUUUGCAUACUGUUUUCAGGUGCAUCCCCACUGUGGCAGGCGGCAGUGUUUCAUUCCUUUUAUUGCCAAAUAAUAGUCCGUUGUAUGGACACACCACUUUAUCCAUUUAUGGACUGACAAGUUAUGGAAUUUUAGGGCUAGAAGGGACAUGACAGGUCCUCCAAUGCAACCCUCAAUUUUACAAAGGAGAGAGGAGGCACAGAGAUGGGGACGUGACUUGUCCAAAAUGAUAUAGCCAGACUGGGAAACUUGACACUAGAGCUUUGGUUUUGUAAAUCAUGAAAUAUUUCAUGCAUACUGAAAAGCAUAGGAAAAACAUGCAGUGAAUUUUCGGUUCAUAGCUUUCACCUAUUUCCCUUUUGUGUCCCCUUUUAUUUAAUUCCUUGUAGGGGUUCUUAAUAAAUCCUAAAUGUGAAUCAUUUGUUGUUUAAAAACUCUACCUAUAUCUUUUCCCAGUCUGUGUCUUGUAUUGUCCUUUUGUUUCUGGUGUUCUUGAUGUUUGGUGGAUAGAAGUUUCUAAUUUUAAUGAAUUGUCUGCCUUAUUAUCUAUGAUUUGUACUUUCUGAGUCUUGGUUAAGAAAUCUUUUGUUAGUAUUCUCCUAACUUUCCUUUAAUUUUUUUCAAUUUUUGCUUUUCAUGCUUAAUUCCCCUGGAAUGUACUUUUGUGUCUGGUGUGAAGUAAAUUAAUUUUUUUCUAGAAACGCAACCUGAUCUUCAGCACCAAUUACCACUCCAGUCUUUUACCACUUAUCUGUUGUGGGGAGCAAAAACAUAUUUUUCCUUCUACCUUUCUAGGUUCUUGGUGGGGGCUCUGUGCCAAAGAUAGGUUAACAAAAAGCAUACAAAUUUACUUAACAUAAGUUCUUCUGGGCACCUGGGUGGCCUUUGGCUUGGGUCACAGUCCCAGGGGCCUGGGAUGGAACCCUGCAUUGGGCUCCCAGCUCAGUGGGGAGUCUGCUUCUCCCUCUCCCUCCACUCUCUGAAUAAAUAAAAUCUUAAAAAAAAAAAUUCUGCAUGACCCAGGAGCUUUCACAAGGAAAUGGAGACCUGAAGAAUAGUUAAAUGUGAGUGUUUUUAUACUGGGUUUAAUGAAGAGUGAAAAGUCAUGGGAAAAUGUGAUAGAACAAUGGUGUAGGAGACAAGAGGAGUAUACCUGCAGGAAAUUUAGCAAGAUCUAUUCAUUCAGAUUUCUCUUGGCAUUCUCUUUGGAGAUAAGGAUGCUCCUUUUCUCUGGGUGUAGAGAGGGCAUCUGUCCUCUGAGGGUCUAUGAUCUACUUCAAGGGAAGGAGAUCAUUUCUCACAUUCCUUCCAUUUAGAUUAUUCAGUAUACUAAGGUGCCAUAUUUGGAGGGAGCAUGUGUUAAAUCCUAUCACAACAGUGCCACAUCUAUCACAUAAAGAAUAUCUGUAUAUCUAUAGGUUUAGUUUUGGGCUCUGUUCCUUUAGUCUGUUGGUCUAUUGUUGUCCCAAUACCACAUCUCAAUUCCUUUUUUUUUUUUAUGAUAGGCACACAGUGAGAGAGAGAGAGAGGCAGAGACACAGGCAGAGGGAGAAGCAGGCUCCAUGCACCAGGAGCCCAACAUGGGAUUUGAUCCUGGGUCUCCAGGAUCACGCCCUGGGCCAAAGGCAGGCGCUAAACCGCUGCGCCACCCAGGGAUCCCCCCCCCCUUUUUUUUAUGAUAGGCAGUCAAUUCCUGUAAGUUUAUAAUAAGUCCUAAUAUUUAGAAGGGCAAGGCCCACAUCCUCUCACCUUGCCCUCUUCCUUCAAAAUAGUCUUAAAUCUUUGUCUUGUUUGCUUUUGCAUCUAAACUCCAAGAUAAGCUUGUCAAUUUCCUCAAAAUUCCUUUUGGGGCUUUGACUGGUAUUGCAUUGAAUUGAUAUAUUUAUAUGGAUUUUACUUACAUCUUUAUGAGAUAUUGAGUAUCUCUAUCCAUGAAGAUGGUAUAUAGCUCUCCUCCUUUUUAAUGUGUUUCUUUUUUUUUUUUUUUUAAGAUUUUAUUUAUUUAUUCAUGAGAGACACACAGAGAGGUAGAGACACAGGGAGAGGGAGAAGCAGGCUCCAUGCAGGGGUCCCGAUGCAGGACUCAAUCCCAGGACUCCAAGAUCACACCCUGAGCCUGAGCCAAAGGCAGACACUCAACUACUGAGUCACUCAGGCAUCCCUAAUGUGUUUCAAUACAUACAUUUUAAACAAUUUUGUAAAUUGUGUAAUUUAUGUUGUAAAUUUUAUAAUUGUAGUUUUACAAUUUUCUUUAUAGAAAUCAUACACAUAUUUUGUUAUACUUAUUCCUUGGUUAUAAAAUUUUUCUUGCUCUUAUAAAUUGUAGUUUAAAAUUGUACUGUUGCCAGUAUAUAAGAAUACACUUGAGUUUUAAAUAUCAGCCUAAAAUUCAGCAGCCAAGAUAAACUCUUAGUUUAAAAAAAAUGUAUUAGUUCAAAUAUUUUCAUGAAUUUUUAUGCAGAUGAUCACAUUAUUUGUGACUUAUGAUAGUUCUGUUUUCUCCUUUCUACCUUACACCUUUUAUUAAUUUUUCUGUUCUUAAUGCACAGGUUAGAACCUAAAUCCUUUGUGUGGUUGGAUGGAAGCACACACAGUGGGCAUUGCUGUCUCAUGCCUGACAUUAAAGGAAGGUUUCUCA